UGCAGAAAUAUUUUACAGAAAACAAGGAAUGCAUAGUGUUGUUAUUGCAGUGUAACUACUAUAGAACACUGCAGGAAUGAUUACAUUCAUCUGUGAUGAU